CAACGAAAUAAAAUCGAUCCUACAUUCUCUAAGGAAAGAUACACCGUGAUAGCUAGACAGGGAGCUAAAGUUGUCAUACGAAAUGACUUCGGAGUACAAAUGGCAAGAAAUGUUCAAGACAUCAAGCGUGACCUAACAAUCCCACAAAACCAGGAAAACGGCGUAGAAGACGACUUCGUGGAUAUGCACGGAAAGUCAUUGGAUAACGCUAAUGAAACUGGACAGACAGACGGUGAAGCGAUGAUAAAAGACAACAUUCCAGGAAACGAAGAAGCAUCAGAGCAAAGUACCGAUUCCAUGCACCGUACACUAAACAGCAAACCGAAGCGAGUCCUUUGUAGGCCAAAAAGAUUCGAUGAUAUGAUUUUAUAUAAUAUUUUCUCAUAAAGAGUAGAGGAGGAGCAGAAUGUAGGGAACGUAAGGGAAUGUAGGGAACGUAAGGGUUAAGACGGUGUUAAGAUGGUAACUAGGAGUAAUUAGGAAAAGAGAGGAGAGGAAGCAGAGGCGCAAGAGAAAUCGUGAUCGUAGGACCCAUAGAUUUUACAAAUGAAAAUUCAGUUUGUUGGUUUGUUUAACUGUGAAUAGACGUGUUUGAUUUGUGGAAGUAAAAAAAAAAAA